AAGUCGUAACAAGGUAUCCGUAGGUGAACCUGCGGAUGGAUCAUUACCAAAGAUCUCCUAUACGUACUGUGAACUGUCUUGAACUGGGCCUCUGGCCCUUUAUACGUACACUCAAACUAUAGUUAAGUUGCUUAAAACACAAACAACUUUUAGCAAUGGAUCUCUAGGCUCUC
rnacentral:misc_RNA from 1 species